rnacentral:sRNA from 12 species
ACUGUGGAGUAUUAUAUCAAACUAGAGUAGAUUACUAUUUAUAGUUUUCAAAAUGGGAUACGCUGAAACAGUAA